rnacentral:ncRNA from 1 species
AACGACCGGCCGGUCACUCGUGUGCCCGGCCCGCAAGUGGAGGCUCCGGACUCCCACCUGAACCGACCCCCGGGUCGGCAGGUCAUCGGUCAGGCUGCGCCCCGCGGUGAUAUCGCGGCGGUGCUCCCGGUCUAUGAGGAGCCCCGCCUGCGUACCGUCCGGGGCGUUUUUC